AGCUGCAGCAACAACAACCACAGUUGCAACAACAACAACCACAGCUGCAGCAACGACAACCACAGCUGCUUUAACAACAACUGCGGCCCACGGCUUGGAAUCACUGGUACAUCUACAGAUGAAGAUAACUUCCAUUGGAGUGGUCAGCAAUGAAACCAUCAUUGAAGGUGUGAAACAGUUUUUCAGAGAACAGCUUCUGAAUGCAAC